rnacentral:rRNA from 1 species
AGAGUGAACGCUGGCGGUAGGCCUAACACAUGCAAGUCGAACGGCAGCACAGUAGGAGCUUGCUCUUACGGGUGGCGAGUGGCGGACGGGUGAGGAAUACGUCGGAAUCGUACCUUUUGGUGGGGGAUAACGUAGGGAAACUUACGCUAAUACCGCAUACGCCCUUCGGGGGAAAGCCGGGGACCAGCAAUGGCCUGGUGCUGAUAGAUGAGCCGAUGUCGGAUUAGCUAGUUGGUGAGGUAAUGGCUCACCAAGGCGACGAUCCGUAGCUGGUCUGAGAGGAUGAUCAGCC